GCCUCUGUAGCUCAGUUGGAUAGAGCGCGACAUUGGUAAUGUCGAGGUCCCGGGUUCGAAUCCCGGCAGAGGCU
rnacentral:tRNA from 1 species